rnacentral:rRNA from 1 species
GGGUUGUGAGGUUAAGCGACUAAGCGUACACGGUGGAUGCCCUGGCAGUCAGAGGCGAUGAAGGACGUGCUAAUCUGCGAUAAGCGUCGGUAAGGUGAUAUGAACCGUUAUAACCGGCGAUUUCCGAAUGGGGAAACCCAGUGUGAUUCGUCACACUAUCAUUAACUGAAUCCAUAGGUUAAUGAGGCGAACCGGGGGAACUGAAACAUCUAAGUACCCCGAGGAAAAGAAAUCAACCGAGAUUCCCCCAGUAGCGGCGAGCGAACGGGGAGGAGCCCAGAGCCUGAAUCAGUGUGUGUGUUAGUGGAAGCGUCUGGAAAGGCGCGCGAUACAGGGUGACAGCCCCGUACACAAAAAUGCACAUGCUGUGAGCUCGAUGAGUAGGGCGGGACACGUGGUAUCCUGUCUGAAUAUGGGGGGACCAUCCUCCAAGGCUAAAUACUCCUGACUGACCGAUAGUGAACCAGUACCGUGAGGGAAAGGCGAAAAGAACCCCGGCGAGGGGAGUGAAAAAGAACCUGAAACCGUGUACGUACAAGCAGUGGGAGCCUCUUAAUGGGGUGACUGCGUACCUUUUGUAUAAUGGGUCAGCGACUUAUAUUCUGUAGCAAGGUUAACCGAAUAGGGGAGCCGAAGGGAAACCGAGUCUUAACUGGGCGUUAAGUUGCAGGGUAUAGACCCGAAACCCGGUGAUCUAGCCAUGGGCAGGUUGAAGGUUGGGUAACACUAACUGGAGGACCGAACCGACUAAUGUUGAAAAAUUAGCGGAUGACUUGUGGCUGGGGGUGAAAGGCCAAUCAAACCGGGAGAUAGCUGGUUCUCCCCGAAAGCUAUUUAGGUAGCGCCUCGUGAAUUCAUCUCCGGGGGUAGAGCACUGUUUCGGCAAGGGGGUCAUCCCGACUUACCAACCCGAUGCAAACUGCGAAUACCGGAGAAUGUUAUCACGGGAGACACACGGCGGGUGCUAACGUCCGUCGUGAAGAGGGAAACAACCCAGACCGCCAGCUAAGGUCCCAAAGUCAUGGUUAAGUGGGAAACGAUGUGGGAAGGCCCAGACAGCCAGGAUGUUGGCUUAGAAGCAGCCAUCAUUUAAAGAAAGCGUAAUAGCUCACUGGUCGAGUCGGCCUGCGCGGAAGAUGUAACGGGGCUAAACCAUGCACCGAAGCUGCGGCAGCGACGCUUAUGCGUUGUUGGGUAGGGGAGCGUUCUGUAAGCCUGUGAAGGUGGCCUGUGAGGGUUGCUGGAGGUAUCAGAAGUGCGAAUGCUGACAUAAGUAACGAUAAAGCGGGUGAAAAGCCCGCUCGCCGGAAGACCAAGGGUUCCUGUCCAACGUUAAUCGGGGCAGGGUGAGUCGACCCCUAAGGCGAGGCCGAAAGGCGUAGUCGAUGGGAAACAGGUUAAUAUUCCUGUACUUGGUGUUACUGCGAAGGGGGGACGGAGAAGGCUAUGUUGGCCGGGCGACGGUUGUCCCGGUUUAAGCGUGUAGGCUGGUUUUCCAGGCAAAUCCGGAAAACCAAGGCUGAGGCGUGAUGACGAGGCACUACGGUGCUGAAGUGACAAAUGCCCUGCUUCCAGGAAAAGCCUCUAAGCAUCAGGUAACAUCAAAUCGUACCCCAAACCGACACAGGUGGUCAGGUAGAGAAUACCAAGGCGCUUGAGAGAACUCGGGUGAAGGAACUAGGCAAAAUGGUGCCGUAACUUCGGGAGAAGGCACGCUGAUAUGUAGGUGAAGCGACUUGCUCGUGGAGCUGAAAUCAGUCGAAGAUACCAGCUGGCUGCAACUGUUUAUUAAAAACACAGCACUGUGCAAACACGAAAGUGGACGUAUACGGUGUGACGCCUGCCCGGUGCCGGAAGGUUAAUUGAUGGGGUUAGCGGUAACGCGAAGCUCUUGAUCGAAGCCCCGGUAAACGGCGGCCGUAACUAUAACGGUCCUAAGGUAGCGAAAUUCCUUGUCGGGUAAGUUCCGACCUGCACGAAUGGCGUAAUGAUGGCCAGGCUGUCUCCACCCGAGACUCAGUGAAAUUGAACUCGCUGUGAAGAUGCAGUGUACCCGCGGCAAGACGGAAAGACCCCGUGAACCUUUACUAUAGCUUGACACUGAACAUUGAGCCUUGAUGUGUAGGAUAGGUGGGAGGCUUUGAAGUGUGGACGCCAGUCUGCAUGGAGCCGACCUUGAAAUACCACCCUUUAAUGUUUGAUGUUCUAACGUUGGCCCCUAAUCGGGGUUGCGGACAGUGUCUGGUGGGUAGUUUGACUGGGGCGGUCUCCUCCUAAAGAGUAACGGAGGAGCACGAAGGUUGGCUAAUCCUGGUCGGACAUCAGGAGGUUAGUGCAAUGGCAUAAGCCAGCUUGACUGCGAGCGUGACGGCGCGAGCAGGUGCGAAAGCAGGUCAUAGUGAUCCGGUGGUUCUGAAUGGAAGGGCCAUCGCUCAACGGAUAAAAGGUACUCCGGGGAUAACAGGCUGAUACCGCCCAAGAGUUCAUAUCGACGGCGGUGUUUGGCACCUCGAUGUCGGCUCAUCACAUCCUGGGGCUGAAGUAGGUCCCAAGGGUAUGGCUGUUCGCCAUUUAAAGUGGUACGCGAGCUGGGUUUAGAACGUCGUGAGACAGUUCGGUCCCUAUCUGCCGUGGGCGCUGGAGAACUGAGGGGGGCUGCUCCUAGUACGAGAGGACCGGAGUGGACGCAUCACUGGUGUUCGGGUUGUCAUGCCAAUGGCACUGCCCGGUAGCUAAAUGCGGAAGAGAUAAGUGCUGAAAGCAUCUAAGCACGAAACUUGCCCCGAGAUGAGUUCUCCCUGAGACUUAGAGUCUCCUGAAGGAACGUUGAAGACGACGACGUUGAUAGGCCGGGUGUGUAAGCGCAGCGAUGCGUUGAGCUAACCGGUACUAAUGAACCGUGAGGCUUAACCUUACAACGCCGAAG